AUAUCAAUAAGCGGAGGAAAAGAAACUAACAAGGAUUCCCCUAGUAACGGCGAGUGGAGCGGGAUGAGCUCAAAUUUAAAAUCUGGCUGGUUUACUAGUCCGAAUUGUAGUUUAUAGAGGCGUUUUCUGUGCUGGACCGUGUCCAAGUCCCUUGGAACAGGGUAUCAAAGAGGGUGACAAUCCCGUACUUGACACGACAACCAGUGCUCUGUGAUACGUCUUCUACGAGUCGAGUUGUUUGGGAAUGCAGCUCAAAAUGGGUGGUGAAUUCCAUCUAAAGCUAAAUAUUGGCGAGAGACCGAUAGCGCACAAGUA
rnacentral:rRNA from 1 species